CUCAGGGUUAGUCGGGACCUAAGCCGAGGCCGAAAGGCGUAGGCGAUGGACAACAGGUUGAUAUUCCUGUACCACCUCCUCACCAUUUGAGCAAUGGGGGGACGCAGGAGGAUAGGGUAAGCGCGGUGUUGGAUAUCCGCGUCCAAGCAGUUAGGCUGGGAAAUAGGCAAAUCCGUUUCCCAUAAGGCUGAGCUGUGAUGGCGAGCGAAAUAUAGUAGCGAAGUUCCUGAUUCCACACUGCCAAGAAAAGCCUCU
rnacentral:rRNA from 1 species